GCCCCCGUAGCUCAGCGGAUAGAGCGGCCGCCUUCUAAGCGGAAGGUCCCGGGUUCGAUUCCUGGCGGGGGCGCCA
rnacentral:tRNA from 1 species